ACCCUCCAGUUCCCUUUCCCAUCGGAUCUGAACACUGGUCUGGGUGGUCGUAAAAGGAGGAAGAGUAACAUUGAAACAGACCUCAGUGCUCGUAGCACAUGGGCUAGUUUCAAACAAGA